UGGAGGUUAGGUUGGAUGAGGCGGUGAAGAGUACGACCUCUUUGACUUCUACACCUUGCGCUGACGAACUACACGUGUUCAUUCAAUGAAAAAGAUUGACAGAAAAUCCAAUAAAAAAACCCACAUGCAAUCUUUCUUGUUAUGGUGAUUAGGGCGGGAGAGUAAUCAAGAUUCAAAAACCUCCAUUAGAGAAGUUUAAACAGUCUUAAAUGGAGCUAAGAAAGAAAGAAGAAAAAGUUCAGAAUAAAGCCAAAAGGGUAUGUAUGAUCAGAGACGGUUUUUCUGUCACCCAAGGGAGAUGCGGACAAGCAACGUAGCCCCCGAUUAUUCUUCUUCCUUUUCCAUGGCUGAUAUGUACGAAGCAGCCCCAUCUUCGGUCACGGGUGGCGCCCCCGUGUCCGAAGAAAUGUCUGUGUCUCCCUUUCUCGACCAGUUCUUGCACCACAGCUUGUCCUCUACUUCGAAGACCAAGUACGGGCAUUUACACCAUUUACCGCAACUCCCACAACCACCCGGAGGAUUUUUCUCUGGGGAGAAUUGUCGGGGGUUCAUCCAAUCGGCUAAACGGUACGAGUCGGAGUCGGAGAGCCGAGUCCGAGACCGAAACUCGGGUGCCGCUGUUGAAUCUUCGUACGGCGUCAAUGUCUCCGAUCCCGGCGGUUAUUUCACGGCCGACGCGAAAGAGAGCGAUGAAAAGACGUUUUCUUCUGCUGGCGUUGUGGAUUCUAAUGCGAAGGAAAGGAGAGUUUCGUUUGAGAAUUAUCUCGGCGAGUUGAGUUGUGAUAGCGAGAAGGUUGCAGGCGGAUCAGAAGUAAAUGCCAAGCCAGUCCCACUUCGUUCUUCAUCGAAGAGGAGCAGAGUUGCUGAAGUCCAUAAUUUAUCAGAAAAGAGGAGGAGGGGUAAGAUUAAUGAGAAAAUGAAAGCCUUACAGAACCUAAUUCCAAAUUCUAACAAGACUGAUAAGGCUUCAAUGCUGGAUGAAGCGAUCGAUUAUUUGAAGCAACUUCAGCUUCAGGUACAGAAGAUUUUUUUGCUCAAGGAUAAAAGCAUGAGAGUUCCAGCUAGGAACUGUGGAACAUGCAAACUAGUUACCAUCAUUUUCGUGACAUCUCGUAGGACUGGAUUUUUUUAUGCUCUACAAAGCUCGAGAUUUGGCAAAAUUGGACCAUCCUCGGAUCAGAUUACCAUUGUACAAGGCCUUCUCUUGAUCUUAAUCACCCAUCAUUUAUUGUUUUCUAUUGGGACACUACAACAGUUGUGGUUAAGGAAUUUCGACAGAUUCUAACCAAUGUUGGACAAGCCGCUUCAAUUUACAAGUCAUGGUGAGGACACCAGAGAAUUAUAAAGUUAUGAGAGGCAAUCGUACACUGUCAUUAAGACGUACAGAGGGCAUAAUGAUGGACAAGUUUCAUUUGGUGAACUUGUUUGGGCUGAAGAAAAUGCAAAACACACCAUGAGGAGCCCCAUUGUUGUCUCACCAACGUUUCAUGCAAGAGACUCUAGUUUGUGUUACUCUUAAAUUAAAUUUAUAGAUGCUAUCGAUGAGAAACAGAUUGAGUCUGCACCCGAUGUGCUUACCGGGAGUACAGCAGCCUGCACAGUUGCCUCGAACGGGAAUGAGCAGCUUCGGUGAAGGAAAUGGAUAUCUGAAUUCAAGCAGUGGAA